AGAAAUGGACUGCGGGAAGCCAGCGUCCUGCUUCCAGGAAUGCGCCCUGCCAGCUGAACUGCGCCUGGUGAUAAGCACCAGGCUCAGAAAGAACAGGAAAGAUUGGGACACCUGGGUGGCUCGGUUAAGCGGCCAACUUCAGCUCAGCAUUUCACAGGUUCGUUUAAUCCGUAUAGCCUGAAAGUCCGGGACACCUUUAAACUCCUGAAGAAUCUUUGCACGUGACUUCGGCUGCAAGCAGGUUUCCCUUGGCCUUCAUUAUUUGCCACUGGAAAAUGCUGUAAAUGACAUCAGACAGACUUCAGACGCCACCUCUGGAACUAAGAAACGAAGCAGUUAUUCAGAGCGCCGGUGAUUGUCAUUUUAGAAGAAAUAAGAAAUCAGUAUCGCA